rnacentral:rRNA from 1 species
AGACCGAUAGCGAACAAGUACCGUGAGGGAAAGUUGAAAAGCACUUUGAAGAGAGAGUUCAAGAGUACGUGAAACCGCUUAGUAGUAAACGGAGGGGCUCUCGAAGUCGGCGGUGACGGUUCAGGGUGACGGCGGGGCGGCCUGGGGGCGUGGGAUCCGCAAGGACCCUGUCCACUUGUCGGCUCUGUCGGUGCCUGCACUUCGUUGCCGCCAUACGCGACGAACCGUUUCUGACGGACCGAGGGCGUGGGUGAAGUUUGCGGGCCUCGGCCUUCAAGCCCCGCGUUCCUGGCUCUGUCGGGGACGGGUAGUGGAGCGAUCUCUUAUAGAGAGUGUCCUUGCUGGCACGGUUCGCAUCUCUGUCGCGAGUAGGUCGGCGGCCCCUCCGACCCGUCUUGAAACACGGAC